ACGAACGCUGGCGGCGUGCUUAACACAUGCCAGUCGAACGGAAAGGCCCCUUUGGGGGUACUCGAGUGGCGAACGGGUGAGUAACACGUGAGUAACCUGCCCUUGACUUCGGGAUAACUUCAGGAAACUGGGGCUAAUACCGGAUAGGAAUCCUUGCUGCAUGGUGGGGGUUGGAAAGCUUCGGCGGUUUUGGAUGGACUCGCGGCUUAUCAGCUUGUUGGUGGGGUAGUGGCUUACCAAGGCUUUGACGGGUAGCCGGCCUGAGAGGGCGACCGGCCACAUUGGGACUGAGAUACGGCCCAGACUCCUACGGGAGGCAGCAGUGGGGAAUAUUGCACAAUGGGCGGAAGCCUGAUGCAGCAACGCCGCGGGCGGGAUGACGGCCUUCGGGUUGUAAACCGCUUUCAGCAGGGGCGAAGCUUGUGGUGACGGUACCUGCAGAAGAAGCACCGGCUAACUACGUG
rnacentral:rRNA from 1 species